GUUACCUUGGCUGCUGGACAUUCUACUGCAUUUUCAAGAUAUUUAUCUGAUCCACAGCGAAAGCAGGUAUGUGUAGCAGAAGUAACAGUCCGAGGCGAUGUGAAUGGAGCAGUCGAGUGUGCGCCGUCUAUUUUUUAGAUCCCCCAGUGCCGCAACCACGUACUCUCAUGUGUCUUUGCACACUCAGCCUGUACGGAAAAGUUCUGUGUACUCGUUAUUGCUUUAGCAUGCUCUCCAGCAGAUUCAACUUGUUGUGCAAUUGUAACCAUAUCAGUAAAUGUUAACUUGUCAUGCAGCAAAAGUCUCUCUGGACUAAUACGUGGAUUAGUGACAUUUUCCAUGAGCUGGUCACGAAUCAUAUCAUCUGCAUUUGUAAACUCACACAUAGACGAAAGUUCUCUCAGUGCAGCAACAUACUGAAUUACAGACUCACCAGUUUGUUGAGUUCUUUUCCGGAAUGUGUAUCUCUCCAUAACCACGUUCAACUUGGGUGUAAAAUGAGCAUGUAAAGCCAUAAUAGCAGCAGCCAUUGUAUCGCCCGUUUCUGGUAACAUGUAAAAUAUUCUCUGCCCUUCUGUGCCCAGGCAAUGUAACAGAAGAGCUCUUUUCAUGGCUUCUGACCAUUCCUGUCUUUCAACGUCGAUCACUAAGAGAUAAUUCUGGAACAUUCGCUCCCAUGUCUUGAAGGGAAUCGCGGGGUCUCCUAGAGCAGGUAAGAAAAAAUGUUAGGAAAUUGUGCAGACGAUGCUAUCGUGGCAGCUAUUGUGAGUCGCCUCGUCACCAAUAUGUUGUGUUCAAGGUAUCAAUAUGAAGCCAGGCCACAGCAGGUGAAACGAUUAAAUCUUUUCUUUGUUACUAACUCUUAACACACAUGCAACUCAUGCUCAUCAUUCUUGUUUUUCUAUUCGUGUUCCCCCUAAUAACAUCUAUUUCCCCCUAGUGGUCUCAGUAAGGAUUACACUGAAUAACAGGACACCACACACCACCCAUGUAAAAAUCCCCAGCCGAAUUACCUACUAUUUUUUGCCAAACACCAAGGGCAUGUGGUAAUUUAAUUGCCGCCUGAAUCCAUGUCUCUGAGUUUAUAAAAGGUGACUGAUCUAAAAGUCGUUCUGUAAACCUGUUUGACCACUGAUGAGCACCGUAUGGUAACUGUUGCGUUUUGCGGUAAUUUGCGUCAGAGAACCGGCUUUUUUUGCAUGCAUUUUAAAAAAGGACACAAUCCAAGUUUUUACAGGAAUAAUCUUACAGGAAAAAUGUUACAGGAAAAGCUGAUUAAACCAAAGCGAAAAAACAGAAGAAAAACACGAAAACAUCUGAAAUGGGCCAUUAUCAUGGCAGUGACAGCUGACAAUCUUGUGACUACCCCUGAGGCACCAGUGAAAAGAAGCAUUUUCUGGGAGACAGGUGUACUGGAAUACUUCACAGACUGAGUGGUAUCAGAACUUCAGAAUGCCAUGAGAGGCAUUUCUGAAUCUCUGUGGCUUGCUCAGUCCCUAUAUUCAAAACCAAAAUACAGUUAUAAAAUGUCCAGUGCCUCUACAAAAGAGAGUGGCCCUUACACUCUACAGACUUGCCAGCAGUGUUGAAUUUCAUGAUUUGGCCAACCUCUUUGGCACUGGCGUGAGCACAGAAUGCAACAUUUUCUAGGAAGUGUGUGACGCUUUGUGCCAUCUCAAGAAGAAAAUGUUAAAAGACCAAGAUCUUUAUAAGACCUGCAAUCCAUCAUUGAUGGGUUUGAAAGAAAAUCUGGCUUUCCUAUGUGUGCUGGGGCCUUGGAUGGUACUCACAUCCCCAUUAUCGCUCCUUCACAGUACUGCACUGAACAGAAAGGGAUGGUACAGUGUGCAACUUCAGGACCUUGUAGACCGUCCAUUAAAGGAGUGGAAAUCCAGCCUCUCAUUGUAGUAGACUCUGCAUACAGCCUAUCUCCACAUGUGAUGAAACCUUUACCUGGCGGCACAUUGAGGAGACCACAGAAGGAGUUUAACAUAUGCUUGAGCAGGGCUCGCAUUCAUGUUGAGCAUGCUUUUGGCUCCCUGAAAGGUAGAUGGCGCUGCAUCAUGAAGAGAAAUGACAGUGCAACAAACAACAUCAAUUAUGUCGUGGUGGCCUGCAUUGUGUUACAUGACUUCUGUGAAGAGUGGAACCUGAAGUAUGUUGACACACCCCACCAGCCUCCAGAAAACACAGAUUUACCACAGGACAUUCCAUCCAUUCCAUUUCCUGGUGAGCCUGAGUUCAACCUGCCCUGAACAGCCUGACUCGUCAAACUGUACUGCAGAAGAAAUUCGACAGGCAAUAAUGCUUCAUGUAUCAACACGAGUGUAAACACCUUUUUGAAAAUGUACAAUGGUGUAGUAAAAGUAACCAGUAUAUACUCCCAUGUUUAGUACAACAAAAUAUUUUAUUUCAAGUAUCAAUAAUUAUAAUUUUCCUUUGUUAUUAACUUUGAAUAAGGAUGAAAUGAAUGCACUGUAGAAGUACAGAACUGGAAUUUUUCUUUAAGAGGUAGUCUACUAUUGCAAAGGCUUCUUGUACAGAACAUGUAGUUUGCCAAAAGUUCUAAAAUGUUUCAAAAUAAUAAUAAAAAAAAUAUAUAUAAAAUAA